rnacentral:sRNA from 1 species
ACUGCUUUUCUUUCAAAUCCCAAAUUGUGGAGCCCGCCAAUUCUAUUUUUAGCGGGUUUUUUAUU